GGUGAACGCUGGCGGCGGGCCUAAUACAUGCAAGUCGAGCGAACAGACGAGAAGCUUUCUCCUCUGACGUUAGCGGCUGACGGGUGAGUAAGACGUGGAUAACCUACCUAUAAGACUGGGAGAACUUCGGGAAACCGGAGCUGAUACCGGAUAAUAUAUUCAACCGCAUGGUUCAAUAGUGAAACACGGUUUUGCUGUCACUUAUAGCUGGAUCCGCGCUGCAUUAGCUAGUUGGUAAGGUAACGGCUUACCAAGGCGACGAUGCGUAGCCGACCUGAGAGGGUGAUCGGCCACACUGGAACUGAGACACGGUCCAGACUCCUACGGGAGGCAGCAGUGGGGAAUCUUCCACAAUGGGCGAAAGCCUGACGGAGCAACGCCGCGUGAGUGAUGAAGGUCUUCGGAUCGUAAAACUCUGUUAUUAGGGAAGAAAAAAUGUGUAAGAAACUACGCACGUUUUGACGGUACCUAAUCAGAAAGCAACGGCUAACUUCGUG
rnacentral:rRNA from 1 species